UACGUAGGGACCGAGCGUUGUCCGGAUUCAUUGGGCGUAAAGAGCUCGUAGGCGGCUGUUCAAGUCGAACGUGAAAACUCGGAGCUCAACUCCGAGCCUGCGUUCGAGACUGGAUGGCUAGAGUCUGGUAGGGGGAUCUGGAAUUCCUGGUGUAGCGGUGGAAUGCGCAGAUAUCAGGAGGAACACCGGUGGCGAAGGCAGCAAACUGGGCAUCAACUGACGCUGAGGCGCGAAAGCGUGGGUAGCAAACAGG
rnacentral:rRNA from 1 species